ensembl:lncRNA
GGAGAUGUUUGGAGCAGCGGGCAGUCUGGUUAACUGGAAUUAGAGGCUGCUUGUGCAGUCAGACCAUCAUGGGGCUGCGAGCUGAGGGUUGACAGCGGGGGGAACUGCGACCGUCCGUCCGUCCGUCUCACCGGAGAAGCGGGCUCCAUGUCAAAAUGCCAACCUUUUCAGUCAUGUAUAAAGGAGCUGUCAUUAUUAGCAGGACACUAAUGGGUCCGUACGGAGUAGACCGAGCUGUUCAUUCCAUGGAGUUCACAGACUGUGAGAAUGGCCUGGGAAUAAAAGUGAUUGGAGGAGUGAAGGAGGUGACCGGAGAGGAGUUUGGAGUCUACGUCAAACGGAUUUUACCAGGUGGCCUUGCUUCAGCCGAUGGUAACCUGAUGCCAGGGGACCAGAUCUUGGAGGUGAAUGGGGACAGUCUAGUUGGAGUCACAAGUGAAAGAGCUGUGGACGUCUUGAGAGCAGCCUCUGCAACCAAUCACAUGCGCCUUCUUAUAGCCAGAGACGAGGAAGCAAAGAGGGAAUUUGCUGAGCUGAUGGAGAAAUAUGGAUCCAAUGGUAGCACGGGAUCAACACGCAACUCUCCCAUCCAGCAAGGAGGUCGCUACCUGGAUAGCACAUCAUCGGGUUCCUCGUCCCGCUCCCAGAGUCCUUUGCUGCUGAGUCCAGCAGGCUCUCAGAACAUGUACAACAACAGUGGGCCUAUGAUGCGCUCCCUCAGGUAA